GACGAACGCUGGCGGCGUGCUUAACACAUGCAAGUCGAGCGGUAAGGCCCUUUCGGGGGUACACGAGCGGCGAACGGGUGAGUAACACGUGGGUGACCUGCCCUCAGCUCUGGGAUAAGCCCGGGAAACUGGGUCUAAUACCGGAUAUGACUCCAUGACGCAUGUUGUGGGGUGGAAAGCCUUGUGCGGCUGAGGAUGGGCCCGCGGCCUAUCAGCUUGUUGGUGGGGUGAUGGCCUACCAAGGCGACGACGGGUAGCCGGCCUGAGAGGGCGACCGGCCACACUGGGACUGAGAUACGGCCCAGACUCCUACGGGNGGCAGCAGUGGGGAAUAUUGCACAAUGGGCGGAAGCCUGAUGCAGCGACGCCGCGU
rnacentral:rRNA from 1 species